GCCCGGCUAGCUCAAUCGGUAGAGCGUAAGACUCUUACUAAAAAGCAAUCUUAAGGCUGCGGGUUCGACCCCCGCGUUGGGCU
rnacentral:tRNA from 1 species